rnacentral:rRNA from 1 species
AACGAACGCUGGCGGCAUGCCUAACACAUGCAAGUCGAACGAGACCUUCGGGACUACUGGCGCAUGCGUGCGUAACGCGUCGGAACCUGCCCUUAGGCACGGGAUACUACCCCGAAAGGGGUGCUAAUACCGGGUAAUUUCUUCUGACAAAAGAUUUAUCGCACUUGGAUGGGCCCGCGUUGGUUUAGCUAGUUGGUAGGGUAAAAGCCGAUCAAGGCGUCGAUCCAUAGCGGGGCGAAGAGGCUGGUCAGCCACACUUGGACGGUGACACGGCCCGGACUCCUACGGGAGGCGGCAGUGGGGAAUAUUGGACAAUGGGCGAAAGGCUGAUCCAGCAAUGCCGCGUGAGUGAUGAAGGCCUGAGGGUUGUAAAGCUCUUUUACCCGGGAUGAUAAUGACAGUACCGGGAGAAUAAGCUCCGGCUAACUCCGUG